rnacentral:ncRNA from 2 species
AGAUCCCGCGCGGGAGAGUCCGGCACCCGUGCCGGCGCCGAAGGAGCAAAUCCUCCCCGGAACCUCUCAGGCACCCGAACCGCACGGGAGAG